GUAGGUCUGCUUUAAAAUUAUGCGCUCCCAGCGCUACAUUUUUAACACAACCGACGCGCAAUAUUGCAAUAAGGAAUUAGAUAUGAAGACCCUUUACCAGUUGCAUAAUGCUAAAAUAGUCGCCGAGAUAGAAAAGUGAUAAACCCCAACACCGUCCGCAACACUCUUAUCUUAACAGCGCUUUUUUUUAAAUUCUUGCUCCAAGGAUCGAAACACACUGUCAGUUCGCUCUUGAGCCCGAUGGAAGUACAUGGAAGCCGAGACUCGAUAUGCUGACAACUGGUUCCACGCAGAACACACAACAGCUCUGGCAAAGACGGUGACAUCAGCAUCGCUUAGAUUUCCGCAAACUUGCGCAGUGCAGGAGCCGAGACGCUGACGCUGCGGCUGGUUCCGAUUUCUCCGAAGAGGGCUCGACGAGGAGUGUCCGAAGAGCGUGCGCUAAGCAAGGGCGACAACCGAGCAAAGGCACAACCUAGUAACCUGCGUGCGUGGCAAUAUCGACGAAGCAACCUCUCAGAAGCUCACAGAGGUGAAGGAGCACCUUCAUUGUGAGGACUUGGACUGCGUCUUCAAUAAGAUUUGUGAACACAGCCAUGAGACUCGCCAAGCACAGUCGAACGCCUUCCUCUCGGACGACGUCAAGGCCCAGGUUCGUGCUGCUCUGACGACGUGCCAGUCAAGCCACUGAUACUCCUCUUCAAUAAUUGAUCGCUGUGGCACAUCGCGAUAAACAUUAGAACCAUGUAUCCGUAGUAAACAUUUACUGCAUGUGUCAGAUCCAUUUCUAAACAUGUUCUUGCUUAAUGAAUAUAGAUAAAUGGGAAAGUACGCUACAUUGUAGCCGGCUAUAGAUGCAGGUAAAAAAUUGAAGUUCCCACUUUCUCGGCAAAAACCACGUACAUACGACCGACACGCAAACUACUAUAACUUUCAAAAACAAAAACAAAAAAAGAACAAAGCAUUCUAAAUGUCAAUAAACAGGAACGAUGGAACUAACAAGCUUCAUCCGAAAAAUUUGGGAUUGCUCAAAAAUGUCAACCUUUUUCGCCAAUAAAAUGCAGCAGACGACAGUGCAUCCAAAGGCACGUUUGUAAACGUUUUGACAAAAUAUGGAGAUUCUGUAUCAAAUUACUCAGUUUUGUAUUCGCCCGGAGAUUCUUGGUGGCUUGGGCAAUUCCUGUAUGUCGACCAUGAAAACUGCACUUUUAUUCUAUUAGGGGAGGCGAGGCUGGUGUAGUGUCUGCACAUUUUCGGAACUUUUGUUUUUCAGACUGUGAAUUGAGUGUAUUUGCGAUGUGGCCAAUUCCUUACAUAGCGCAGAACGGUGGAAACUAGGCCAAACACGUGGACGCCUUUAGACUUAUAGUAUGUUGGCAAAGACGUACUAUAUAGAUUCUCUACGGGGAAGCGCUUGAAGCCUGUUGAAGAUUAAAAAUAUCCUUUAAACCUAGUUUUUCUUUUCACUUCAUGCUAAAGAACGUUGGUGAAUUAUUGAUGAAAGAAAGGCCAAAGUACCUGUUCUUUUUAACUUUUUUAUCGGAACCUGAAUGUUGUCACGUGCGUGUAAUGUAGGGAAUAUCAUUUUUUAUUGUAUUUGGACCAUUAUGCCACCAAAUAAGUUCUCGCUUUCUAGGUUGAGUCUUCGGUUUAUUCACGACCGAGUGAACAAAAAGUCAUGACGUAUUUACCAGCCGGUGUGGCAAGCUUAACGGAAGCGCGUCGCCACCGAUGUUUUGUUUUAGCAGCUUUUCUCUCAUACCAAGAUUCUUCCUUGUAGUAAUGGGAAACAUCACUUUGUGAAGCGCAAGCUACAAGCACUGCUCCACUUAACCUUUUCCUUAAGUGUACAUUUCCCAGUCAACAUAAGGGUGCCGCACCGAACUAGAACUCAAUUGAUACCUGGAGCGGAACCGUUAUAUUCAGCUGAACCAACCCAUUAUUUUUCAGCCAUCUUGGAACCAAACCCGUACCGGAACUUAUUGGAGAGGCUGUUCGAACAGGUUUGAAAAGCGGUUCAGAAGGUCGUGUAGACGCUCCACUAGGACACGUUAGAGAGGAAAUGUGGGACAAAGGGUCAAAGCUUCUAUUAGUAUGAAACGAUUUCCAUGCUACAGGCAAGACUAAAAUAACUUCAAAUAGCCUCAACUCAGUUGCGACACAUGCGUUGUAAAUUUUGUGCUAGCCUAUCUUCCAUUUCGACAACGAAAACUGUAAACGCUCUACAUGUUACCGCGCAUCUUGCUCCACCAAAGGGACCGGAACAAUUCUGUUCAGCUUUCUGUUCUGUGUUGAUGCUGUACGCGGUCGGCUGAGCUGCAGUUGCAAUCCAGCUACUCACGAGAAAACUAUAGCGCUGAAAGUUGUAACGUUAAUCCUUUCCGUAGCCGCAUGGCGUCACGUAUGGCGCCACAGUGUGUCGUGCGACAACGACUGUUCGAUAAUGAGGGUAGAAAAGCAGUCCUGUUUCGUUAUACCUGUUAACGGCGGUUAGCUGGCCCGAUUAAGCAUGCGGUACACAGGAAUGUGUGUGGUUACAUGGAAUGAAUGAAUGAAUAAAACUUUG